ensembl:lncRNA
AUGACCUGGGAGCCCUCAGGCAUCCCGGGGCCUGGUCCGAGUGUCUUCGGGCCCUGGAGCUGGGCGGUUUCUGCAGUGCACCGCCGUGAGUUUCUCUCGGGUACAAUGUGCUGGUGUGCAGAGAGGAGGAAAGAAAAAAAAAACAAAACACUACUCUUAAGUGGCACUGGCAUCUAUGAAGUGGCAGUGGUCUACACUGAGCGUGCCCUUGCCUGGAGGUGUAGGGGGCGGUUACUGCAGCCGAGGGGAGGGUACUGCGGCCAAGGGCAGGGCGGGAGGACAGUCAAGGCCGGCUGGCCGCGUGGGAGCCUUUCCUCUCCGGGUUCAGCGGCCGGCAUCACCAGCACUGCGGCUAAAGGGGCUGGUAGGCUCUCCUGCACCCCGCGUGCUCCUCCGCUUUCUCUGUGUCCCCCGGCUUUUCCAGGAGGAAGAUGGGGUGCCCAUCGUGAAUGGGGCGCGCUGGGCCGCCUGGCCGGGCGGUCACGUGUCCCCCCUCCCCCGCCACUGCGGCGGGAGUUCCAAUCAGAGCUCGCCAGGGGGCUCCUCCCGGGCAGGAACCACCCGGCUCGGCGGCGGAGGGUGGGCCGCCGUCACCUGACCGCCCGCCCCCGCCCCCCGCGAGUAAGGGGCGGUGGUAGCGUCUGCUCGGUUACAAAUGGCCCCUCCCGCCCGGCUCGCCCGCUCGCUCGGGCUCGGCGCGGACCCGCCUGGGCGUGCUCCUCCCGCCGGCUCCAGGCGUCCCACCGCCCUGCCCGGCGCCAGCCCGCGGUCCCAGCCACUCCUGAGGGUGCGCCGGGCACCCAGCGCGUAGGCUCACCCUUGGUGGUCGCCACGGAAGUCUGGACCGCCGAGGCGUGUGGCUUGUCUACCGGCAGGUGUUCUUUUGAUCACAAUGGAUAGUGACUCUUCUCUUCUGCCUGAGAGUGGUUCAAAAUUGAGUCUUCCAACUUCAAAUUGACCAGGAAGCUUUCAGAGCCUGUUGAGGAACACAAGAGUCCCCAGGUGAGUGGACUUACUCAUGGGGGAGCUUGGUUUCUUCUGCUCGCACCAUUGUAGGACCUUAAAAAUGGGUGUGUGGGGAGGGGAAGAGGGUGAAGGAUGCAGCUGUGACCAUUCCCUUUGUCCUGCCCAGGGUGACCCCAUGCUGCUUGACACACACAGGAGCCUGAGACCUAUGUGGGGAGAGACACGCUGAACUGGGGGACUGAGGAGUGUAGGGCAGGUCACAUCCUCCAGAGGCCCACAGUCUACACCCCACCUUUCUCCACUAGAACCAGGAUCCUCCAAACUAGUCAUGCCUCAGAAUCACCCAGGAGAUACUUUAGGGGGGGAAAAAAAAGUAUUAUUAAACAAAUUCCUGUCCCUACCUCUAUUUGUAUAAUUAAAACAUUAACAUUUAUCUCAGUCCUCUGAAAUCUGUCUUUACGGUUAUGAUGAUCUUUGGGCUUCUCCAUCAUGCUGAUGUCAGGGUACCACCCCAGACUGACUCAGUCUCAGGGAAGGAACUAAACACUGAAGGAUGCUGAAGUCCCCUAGGUGUCUUUUUUGUUUGUUUUUUUGUUUUGUUUUGUUUUUGAGACAUGGUCUCGGCCUGUCACCCAGGCUGCAAUAUAGUUGUGAGAUCACAGAUCACUGCAGCCUUGACCUCCCAGGCUCAGACGACCCUCCCUCACCCUCCCAAGUAGUUGGGACUACAGGCAUGUGUCAACACGUCUGGCUGAUUUUUUUAAUAUUUUGUGGAAAUGGGGACCCACUGUGUUGCCCAGGCUGGUCUUGAACUCCUGGGCUCAAGUGAUCCUCCCUCCUCGGCCUCCCAAAGUAUUGGGAUUACAGGUAUGAGCCACCAUGCCCAGCCCCCCAGGUACUUCUGAUGCAGCCUGCAUCUGGCUAUAUCAACAAAGGGAUUUUAAGGUAUGCAAUAAGUGUUUGGCUGGGAUGUCCACUGCCCCACCCUCCUCACUUGUAUGCAUUUGCUGUGUAACCGCUAUGCAUCAGGCCCUCCUGGGCAUGGUGCUGUGUUUCAUUCCCUCGCUGGUCCCAUGCUUCUUCCUUGCCUCCUUUGCAGCCUCACCGCUUCUGCUCUGCUCCCUGGGCAAAUGACCCUGAGGUCUGUGUCUAGCAGUGACGCCUCCAGACCCAGCUCUGCAGUUCCCACUGGGCAUUUCCGUCAGCACGGGUGAACCUGAGUCAGACCCCCUGCCACGCUUCUCCCUGUGAGUUGGGGUACAAAUCUCAGUGUUCCUCUGCUAUUCUUCCUCCCACAGUCCAGCUUGGUCCUGAGUCCUGCCACCUCCACCCCUGUGGUCCCCUGCAGUGCCUGGCUUCUCUGGUCACUCUGACGCUGGCCUCAUUCAGGACUGCACUGUCUCGUACAUGAGCUGUUUCACAAUGCUCUCAGUUGGUUUCUGCCUCCUCAGAUUGUCUUUGUCCAGUCAUCCUUCCCCAGCUGCUGAAGCAUAGGUUGGCUCGCAGAACGUGUGCCACUGAAAACGUGGGAAGGCUUCUUGGCGAAGACAGGACAGUGCACAUCUCCCCCAUCUGCCCACACCUGCCUUCCCAGCCGCCACGUCCUCCUGCCACACCGGGCCUGCUCGCUGGGCCCUCUGCACUCUGUAUCCUGGGCCUUACCGCGUGGUCCGGCUCCCCAUCUGCCUUCCUCCUCGGGUUUGCUGAUCUGUCUCUCCCUUCGGUUCUGGUUUAUAGAUCACCCUACAAGCUUCCUCUAAUCACUUUGGCCAAACCUCUCAUUCCCCACCUUCUGCACCUCUAGUCUUUGGCCCUCUUUUCUCAUCUUUCCUGGCUCAUGUGUGGGUGCUCACAGGGGCGGCUCCCACUCCAGUUCCCCUGCAGGCCCGGAAUCACAGUCGGCCCAUCACCGGUGCUGGCCUUUGCACAAGCUCUCUGGGCACCACAUGCUCUCGCAGAGGCUGCCGGUGGCAUGUUUUUUGGGUGCUCCUGACCAGAUGCUCUGGAUGGUGCCAGAGGCCUUUGGAUUUUCUGAGUGUUGGUGAGUGGAGCCUUCCUCUUGGGCCCCUGGCCUACUGCUGCUGCUCCUCUCACUGGCCCUGCCCAACACCCACACACAUGCACACCUGCAUCGUCCUCCCCGGUGAGCUUGUCCUUCCUGCUGCCACCUCUUCCCUCCCUCCCUCACACCUGCAUUCUCAGAGCAGCUUCCCAAUGCUUUGGUGGUACUUUUGGAAAACAAUUUCCUCCUCCGCCUCCUUCUUCUAUGGGGGAAUGAUAACUUUGAGACACAGCUGGUAAGUAUCAGUACGGGAGGGGGAAAGGAUGCCAGUAACUACCCUCCAUCAUCUCCCCAUCUCCGCUGUCUCCAGCGCAGCUGACCUGCCUGGACGCCUCAUGAAGCGCAAUGCAGCUAAUCUAGCGUCUCCAGUUUCAACCGUCCUGGGUGUACCCUGUGAGCCCCCUUCUUGGGCUGCUGCUUUGAGGGUGACCUCUAACAGCUAAACCACACCCUCAAAGCCAUCCCUGUCUUCCCGGGAGAUCUCUCAGGGAAUAUGGGAGGACCAGGACCCUGCUGUAGACAAGUAUGGGGAGACAGAGGCCAUGGCCUCUGCUCUCCUGUUUCCUUGGGGAGAAAGGAUGGGUGCCAGUUGGCAGAAGGGCCUUUGAGGAAGUUGACCCAGAGUGCUGAGGGCCGGGAUGGAGCAGCUUCCAGAGCUUGAUCUUGGUGACGGAGGAGGAGGAAGGCAUUAGAGACUGAGAGACCCCUAUGUGGAUGUGUGCAGAGGUCUGAGGGAGGGUGCGAAGGCAGGGCUUAUUCAAGGAACUGCAAGAAUGUCAAGCAUUUUAGUGUGGGGUAGAAAUGGAGAGAAGGCAGGCAGAGACCAGAGUGCCGGUGCUUGGGCCUGCCUUGCCCUGCACAGACUCUUCAACUCUAUCCUUAGUGCUGCAGUCCCCAGCUGGGCUGCCUUCAGCUGCCAUCCUCAUUCUGCCUCUGUCUGGGAACUUUCUUCACUUGGUGUCCCUACAUACACGCUCCAGGCUGGCUGGGCCAGGGCAUAGCCCCUCCAUGGCUUUCAUUGGCAGCCUGUGGUGCAGAUCCUGAAGUCAGGUGUGGGGACUGCUGAGGCUCAUCCCUGCAGGGCUGGCACACUGACAGGCUUUCCCAUCAUCCCUCAGCCUCAAGUGAGAAGGGAGAACUAAUCCCAUAGGGAAACAACAGCAAAGCCCCAAUGGACUGUGACCAUGAGGAUGAGCAGUAGCUUGUCCAAACUUGUACCUCGGCCAAGAGACCCUUUGGCAGCUUUGGGAGGAAGAGCAUGGCUGGUCUCCCUGCCCUAGGAGGCUUCCUCCCUGCCGCAGCCCCUUGCGGUGCCAGGAGUACACUGGGCCCUGGACUGAACAAACCACCUUCCCAGGCCCUGUUUCUUGGCAGCCCCGCGGGCCCCAAAGCCUGACAGGAGGCGGGUGACUCUGGGUGGCCCCCGUGUGAGCACCUCCUCACAAACAUGGCCGGCACCUCCCGGAAGAACAACUCUUCUCCGCUUUGCUCUCAGUUUCUGGGCUGACAAUUAGGCUACUGAAAAAGGACAAUUCACAACAGGCCCACACAGAGAAGGCCUUUCAUGUGCAAGAAUGGCCCCGUCGUCCACAUUAGCACCAUUAUGUCUUUAUUUAUAGGAGGUACUGUACUUGAGAAUGGUCAGGCAGCAUUGCUUUAAGAAGGGUGUUUGGUCAUUCGAUUUGAAGCACACUGAGAGGAUUCAUUGUCCCCAGGCCGCACAGGCCCGGCCCAGCAGCCUGGGGUUCAGUCCAAGUGUGCUGAGUGGGUGGUGGAGCUGACAGGGCCUGCAGGGUUGCUCUGGCUGGCAGAGCCUUCGUAGUUGAGUCCGUGGGUGGCGGGGGGUAGGCGAGGAAGCUGUCUCAUGGUGGCAGGCCUGUGACAGGCCCAGCCCAGCCUGAGAUCCCUUUACAGAAUGACACAGCAGUCUGUGCGGGCAGUGGGGAGCCAUUCUCACCAACUCACGCAAAUCCAAGAGAAACCUGCAUUCAUUAAUGAUUUAAGGUUUUAUAGUAUUGGAAAUGGCAGCCCCACAUGGGAAGGACCCUGAGUUUUUUGUAACCCUGGCUGUUGGCAUGAAUGCUCCAUCAACCCGGGAGGACUUCCCACAAACACUCUCUGAACUUCUUACACAGACACCUUGACCUGAAGAAAUUGUCUUCAGAGAGACCGGGUGCGGUUUUGGAGAGAGUGCCACCUGCAGCAGGAGCCUUUGUUCAUGUGGUCCCAUCUACCCUCAACCUCGCCCUGCUCCACCACCUUGGGUCACUUCUUCCGGCCUCCUUGGUCUGUAGUCCCUGCUGUGUUCCAAGGCACCAGGAGGCAUGCAG